GAUGAAGAACGUAGCGAAAUGCGAUAAGUAAUGUGAAUUGCAGAAUUCAGUGAAUCAUCGAAUCUUUGAACGCACAUUGCGCCCGCCAGUAUUCUGGCGGGCAUGCCUGUUCGAGCGUCAUUUCAACCAUCAAGCCCCCGGCUUGUGUUGGGGACCUGCGGCUGCCGCAGGCCCUGAAAACCAGUGGCGGGCUCGCUAGUCACUCCGAGCGUAGUAAUACAUCUCGCUCAGGGCGUGCUGCGGGUUCCGGCCGUUAAAAAGCCUUAUUUACCCAAGGUUGACCUCGGAUCAGGUAGGAAGACCCGCUGAACUUAAGCAUAUCAAUAAGCGAGGA
rnacentral:misc_RNA from 1 species